GGGUUACAUAGCUGAUGAAUUCGAACCGGGUGAAUAACGCGUAGGUAACCUGCCUCAUAGCGGGGGAUCAACUAUUGGGAAACGAUAGCUUAAUCCGCAUAAGAGUGAUUAACACAUGUUAGUUAUUUCAAAAGGAGCAAUUGCUUCACUGUGAGAUGGACCUGCGUUGUAUUAGCUAGUUGGUGAGGUAAAGGCUCACCAAGGCGACGAUACAUAGCCGACCUGAGAGGGUGAUCGGCCACACUGGGACUGAGACACGGCCCAGACUCCUACGGGAGGCAGCAGUAGGGAAUCUUCGGCAAUGGACGGAAGUCUGACCGAGCAACGCCGCGUGAGUGAAGAAGGUUUUCGGAUCGUAAAGCUCUGUUGUUAGAGAAGAACGUUGGUAGGAGUGGAAAAUCUACCAAGUGACGGUAACUAACCAGAAAGGGACGGCUAACUACGUGCCAGCAGCCGCGGUAAUACGUAGGUCCCGAGCGUUGUCCGGAUUUAUUGGGCGUAAAGCGAGCGCAGGCGGUUCUUUAAGUCUGAAGUUAAAGGCAGUGGCUUAACCAUUGUACGCUUUGGAAACUGGAGGACUUGAGUGCAGAAGGGGAGAGUGGAAUUCCAUGUGUAGCGGUGAAAUGCGUAGAUAUAUGGAGGAACACCGGUGGCGAAAGCGGCUCUCUGGUCUGUAACUGACGCUGAGGCUCGAAAGCGUGGGGAGCAAACAGGAUUAGAUACCCUGGUAGUCCACGCCGUAAACGAUGAGUGCUAGGUGUUAGGCCCUUUCCGGGGCUUAGUGCCGCAGCUAACGCAUUAAGCACUCCGCCUGGGGAGUACGACCGCAAGGUUG
rnacentral:rRNA from 1 species